rnacentral:rRNA from 1 species
UCCAGGGAAUUACGUGGUUUUGGGUUUGUGAAAUUCCACCACCCUGAGGAUGCUGCAUAUGCUAACCAAGAAAUGAAUCAUCAAGUUAUUUGCAGUCGAGAGAUUACAAUGGUUUUUGCCGAGGAGAAUAGAAAACCCCCACAAGAAAUGCGCUUCAGAACAAGAUCAAGGUACAUACGUACUGUUUUUUACUUAGGCAUGUUAACUUUCAUCAGUUUGAUUUAUACUGCAGUGGCUACAGUAUUCCAGAACUCUAAUAUUUGUGUAGAGCUAGCUUUGUUUAUCAAAUGCUCAGGUUAG